CUGACGCUGAGGAGCGAAAGCAUGGGGAGCGAACAGGAUUAGAUACCCUGGUAGUCCAUGCCGUAAACGUUGGGCACUAGGUGUGGGGGACAUUCCACGUUUUCCGCGCCGUAGCUAACGCAUUAAGUGCCCCGCCUGGGGAGUACGGCCGCAAGGCUAAAACUCAAAGGAAUUGACGGGGGCCCGCACAAGCGGUGGAGUAUGUGGCUCAAUUCGAUGCAACGCGAAGAACCUUACCUGGCCUUGACAUGCAUUAGACCGCACCUGAAAGGGUGCUUUCCUUCGGGACUGGUGCACAGGUGCUGCAUGGCUGUCGUCAGCUCGUGUCGUGAGAUGUUGCGUUAAGUCGCGCAACGAGCGCAACCCCUGUCCUUAGUUGCCAUCAUUAAGUUGGGCACUCUAGGGAGACAAACCCUCUUUGAGGGUGGGAAGGUGGGGAUGACGUCAAGUCAGGAUGGCCCUUACGGCCAGGGCUGCACACGUACUACAAUGCCCGGUACAGAGGGAAGCAAUACCGCGAGGUGGAGCAAAUCCUGAAAACCGGGCCCAGUUCAGAUUGUAGUCUGCAACUCGACUACAUGAAGUUGGAAUCGCUAGUAAUGGCGCAUCAGCUACGGCGCCGUGAAUACGUUCCCGGGCCUUGUACACACCGCCCGUCACGUCAUGA
rnacentral:rRNA from 1 species